AGUGAACGCUGGCGGUAGGCCUAACACAUGCAAGUCGAACGGCAGCACAGUAAGAGCUUGCUCUUACGGGUGGCGAGUGGCGGACGGGUGAGGAAUACAUCGGAAUCUACUUUUUCGUGGGGGAUAACGUAGGGAAACUUACGCUAAUACCGCAUACGACCUACGGGUGAAAGCAGUGGAUCUUCGGACCUUGCGCGAUUGAAUGAGCCGAUGUCGGAUUAGCUAGUUUGCGGGGUAAAGGCCCACCAAGGCAACGAUCCGUAGCUGGUCUGAGAGGAUGAUCAGCCACACUGGAACUGAGACACGGUCCAGACUCCUACGGGAGGCAGCAGUGGGGAAUAUUGGACAAUGGGCGAAAGCCUGAUCCAGCAAUACCGCGUGGGUGAAGAAGGCCUUCGGGUUGUAAAGCCCUUUUGUUGGGAAAGAAAAGCAGCAGGUUAAUACACCGAUGUUCUGACGGUACCCAAAGAAUAAGCACCGGCUAACUUCGUG
rnacentral:rRNA from 1 species